rnacentral:lncRNA from 1 species
GGGCGCCGAAAUAGUAAAGGAAAGCGGGAACAGUAGGUGCCACCCCAACGGUUAGGCACACAACACCAAAUGCUGGCACUAUGGCCCACGCGUUUGGGUGAAGUUGCGUCGGCGCUACAUUAAGUUCGCGAAGCAAAGCCACCUGGAAGUCGGUGAAAGGAACUCGAAUAUGCAGUUGGCUGAAAAAGUUUGCAUAGACAAAAAAGAAAUCCUCAACACCAGACCCUUUCCUGUGACACACACGCUCGCUCUCACGACUUGCCGC